GAGAUUCCUCUCUUGUGGAGUCUUUCCUGCAAGCCUGGAUGUUUGGAGAUGGGUGGAUGAGCAGCAACCAAGUGUGGUGUUUUCUGCCUCUCAGAGAGAUUUUAGACCCAGUGUGGGUCUAUCUAUCCCCAAGCAGCUGUGGCUGGUGUCUGAUGGAGACCCCUGAGCUUUCACUUGAUUAAACAUUAAAGCCUCAUCUCAUUUCAAGUCAGAAUCCUUAUUCCUACUUCUUGUCAAGGAGAUUUACAGUCCAGCUCUAAGGGCAGCCUGUGACUCCAUGAAGUCGUGGUGUAAGGCAAGACUUGUGAGCACCAAGGAGUGAAGCACCUCAAGCCUCUUUCCCAGGCACGCAGACCCAUGGAUAUUAAACCAACAGAAGAUGUCAAAGCACAACCAAGCUGCUGUGAUAUACGGUGCUCAGAAACACUUCCACACGUUACGUUUCCUAACCUCAGCCACUUCAAUUCCGCGGCAGAAUGAACCAUGAAGUGCUGCACCAGUGGAUUUAUAGUUUGCCAUGUGAAACUUCAUAGAGAAGACGAGCUCAAGGGGAAAAUGAUUUGUCCUACUGUUGCUUCCCAGUGAGCAUUCACCAUUUCUGUGUUCAGCCGUGGAAUUCUUCCCCAAAAGACAUCUUUGAACCAAAAUUACAUGACAACAGAGGAAUCCUAAAUCCAAAUCCACUUUAAUGCAGGACUUUUAGGAAUGUGACUGUUUCACUUACUACCUUUACACCUGCUGCUGGUGCAGGGAACAAGCACAAAGAGCAGCCCAGAGGGCAAAGCUGCAGGAAGGACUGCAUUGGCUGUGGAGGGUGGCAAGAGCUGGCUUGGCCAUAGCCCUUCUGCCUGGCCCCGAGUGCUUAGCCUCACUUACCUGGAUGCUCUGGCAAUACUGAUAUGCUUAGAGGCUUUCUUGUAUGGGUGAGAUGGAGGAGGGCACAGAACUGCCUCUGAGGAGUCCCUGGGUGCAAGCUUAAAGCCCUUCUACCACAUGACCUCUGUGUUGAGCGAGAGGAGUGGGACCUUGGGUCAUAUCAGGAAAGAGGGAGUAGAGAGUUGCUGUAACGAGAACCAGCUUGGUGUCCUUGUUAGGACUCAGUCCGAGUGCUGUUGAAUCCAAUGAGGAUUUUUGCCUCCAACCUUUCUGUAACUGGCUCUUACUGUCAGAACCGUGGUUUUCCUUCUCAUGCAUUAUGCAGCAAGUUCUGCUUUCUCAUUGUCUUUCCAACACGUUGUUCAGUGCCCUGUUACUAUAACUGAGUUUAGCUACUAAAUGUUAUUUAUCAUAGCAGCUAACAUUAAACACGGAUCAACAGUGAUCAUCAGAGCUUUGUAUUGAUUCCCUUGCAGCCUUGCCCCAUCAGCCUUGCACUGCCUGCUGGCCACAGGGCUGUUCCCUGCCCCAGGGCCAGGCUGCUCUGUGUGCCUCUCUGUGCCAUUGCAGCAGGAGCAGUGCAACUACUUGCAGCGCUGCUGGUAGUCAGGCUGUAUGAGAAUGUUCGGCUUCCAGCAGGUCUCUGGUGGGUGUUCCCCUUUCUGACUCUUCUUCUGAAGACGUGCAAUGGAGGUACCCUCACAUCAGCUCAUCACCAUGCACGUCUCAGCCAAAACCUCAUUUUCAUUCCAGAAACAGUAAGUCUGUCAAUUCAUUUAACUGCAUAGAAAACACCAAACAAGAAAUAAAGCCCAAUUAAGAACAGAGAAAAGGAAGAAGCUCAGGAUAAUGGAUUGUUUGGGUAAGUGGUUUUGUCAGCUCUGCUCGUGAGCUCUUGCUGUGUGAACUUGCUGGCUUGGGUGCUGGCUCUGGGGUGGUGGAGAACAUGAGGAUCAUCUCCCAGGUGCAGCCAAGCCACCAGACCCCAGCUGGCCCUUUCUAUCCUGCUGCUGAACUGCAAUGGGCUGCCUUCUGGCAUAGGCCGAGGAUGGAUGCUGAGCUCAGCUCCUGUGUGCCCAGUGCCCAUUGGGUGGCCUUCUGCCAAGCUGCUCCUGGGGACAGCUCUGUGCUAACAGAUUUCUUGCAUGCUUUCCCUUGACUUUUCUCUUCCUUUCAAGAGAUGACCACUUCAAACAAUGUUUCUGCUUUCUGAUGCAUUAAGACUUGGAAAUUUGCCAUUCAUCACAGCUGUGUGUUUGAGCUCAUGUGAUUAUUUUGGGAAGUGAACCAUGGU